rnacentral:rRNA from 1 species
UAGUGGCGAAUGAAUCGGGAAAAGCUCAAGUUUGAAAUCCGAGGUUUACCUCGGAGUUGUAAGCUGAAGAGGCAUCGAUCGACCCGGUCCGGGCUCAAUUUCCUUGGAACAGGAGGUCAUGGAGGGUGAGAACCCCGUCUGUGGCUCGGGUGCCGUGGUCCUUGUGUCGUGUCCUCGAAGAGUCGGGUUGUUUGGGAAUGCAGCUCAAAAUGGGUGGUAAAUUUCAUCUAAAGCUAAAUAUUGGCGAGAGACCGAUAGCAAACAAGUAGAGUGAUCGAAAGAUGAAAAGUACUUUGAAAAGAGAGUGAAACAGUACGUGAAAUUGUUGAAAGGGAAGCGUUUGGCAUCAG